rnacentral:rRNA from 1 species
GUUAUAUGGUCAAGUGAAUAAGCGCACACGGUGGAUGCCUUGGCGGUAGGAGGCGAUGAAGGACGUGGUAGCCUGCGAAAAGCCUCGGGGAGCUGGCAAACAAGCUUUGAUCCGGGGAUGUCCGAAUGGGGAAACCCACCUGUCUAAAGGCAGGUAUCUUGCACUGAAUCCAUAGGUGUAAGAGGCGAACCUGGGGAACUGAAACAUCUAAGUACCCAGAGGAACAGAAAUCAACCGAGAUUCCCUUAGUAGCGGCGAGCGAACGGGGAUUAGCCCUUAAGCGUUGAUUAAGCUAGUGGAACGGUCUGGAAAGUCCGGCGAUACAGGGUGAUAGCCCCGUACACGAAAGCUUUUUCGACGUGAAAUCGAGUAAGGCGGGACACGUGAUAUCCUGUCUGAACAUGGGGGGACCAUCCUCCAAGGCUAAAUACUCCCUACCGACCGAUAGUGAACCAGUACCGUGAGGGAAAGGCGAAAAGAACCCCGUAGAGGGGAGUGAAAUAGAACCUGAAACCGUGUGCGUACAAGCAGUGGGAGCCCCCUCGGGGGUGACUGCGUACCUUUUGUAUAAUGGGUCAGCGACUUACUUCUCAGUGGCAAGCUUAACCGACUAGGGUAGGCGUAGCGAAAGCGAGUCUUAAAUGGGCGCCGUUCUUCGGAACAAUCAGUCGCUGGGAGUAGACCCGAAACCGGGCGAUCUACCCAUGGCCAGGGUGAAGGUGCGGUAACACGCGCUGGAGGCCCGAACCGGGAUCUGUUGAAAAAGAUUCGGAUGAGCUGUGGGUCGGAGUGAAAGGCUAAUCAAGCCCGGAGAUAGCUGGUUCUCCCCGAAAGCUAUUUAGGUAGCGCCUCGUGUCUCACUCCUGGGGGUAGAGCACUGUUUCGGCUAGGGGGCCAUCCCGGCUUACCAAACCGAUGCAAACUCCGAAUACCAGGAAGUGCAAUCACGGGAGACAGACGGCGGGUGCUAACGUCCGUCGUCAAGAGGGUAACAACCCAGACCGCCAGCUAAGGUCCCUAAAUCAUGGCUCAGUGGGAAACGAUGUGGGAAGGCCUAGACAGCCAGGAGGUUGGCUUAGAAGCAGCCAUCCUUUAAAGAAAGCGUAAUAGCUCACUGGUCGAGUCGUCCUGCGCGGAAGAUGUAACGGGGCUUAAGCCAUGUACCGAAGCUGCGGAUGCGAGCUUGCUCGCAUGGUAGGGGAGCGUUCCGUAGGCCUGCGAAGGUGUGUUGUAAAGCAUGCUGGAGGUAUCGGAAGUGCGAAUGCUGACAUGAGUAACGAUAAAGGGGGUGAGAGGCCCCCUCGCCGAAAGCCCAAGGUUUCCUGCGCAACGCUAAUCGGCGCAGGGUGAGUCGGCCCCUAAGACGAGGCCGAAAGGCGUAGUCGAUGGGAAGCAGGUUAAUAUUCCUGCACCACGCAUGACUGCGAUGGGGGGACGAAGAAGGCUAGGCCAGCCGGCUGUUGGUUGCCGGUUUAAGCGUGUAGACAGUUAUCCUAGGCAAAUCCGGGGUAGCAAUGUCGAGACGUGAUGACGAACUCCUACGGGAGUGAAGUGGUUGAUGCCCUGCUUCCAGGAAAAGCCUCUAAGCUUCAGGUCAUGUGUGACCGUACCCGAAACCGACACAGGUGGGCAGGGUGAGAAUCCCAAGGCGCUUGAGAGAACUCUGGUGAAGGAACUAGGCAAAAUGGUACCGUAACUUCGGGAGAAGGUACGCCCCUAUUACGUGAAGUCCCUUGCGGGCCGAGCGGAAAGGGGUUGCAGUGACCAGGCCGCUGCGACUGUUUACUAAAAACACAGCACUCUGCAAACGCGAAAGCGGACGUAUAGGGUGUGACGCCUGCCCGGUGCCGGAAGGUUAAUUGAUGGGGUUAUCUUCGGAGAAGCUCUUGAUCGAAGCCCCGGUAAACGGCGGCCGUAACUAUAACGGUCCUAAGGUAGCGAAAUUCCUUGUCGGGUAAGUUCCGACCUGCACGAAUGGCGUAACGAUGGCGGCACUGUCUCCACCAGAGACUCAGUGAAAUUGAAAUCUCGGUCAAGAUGCCGAGUACCCGCGGCUAGACGGAAAGACCCCGUGAACCUUUACUACAGCUUUGCACUGGACUUUGAAUCGACUUGUGUAGGAUAGGUGGGAGGCUUUGAAGCCAGGACGCCAGUCUUGGUGGAGCCAGCCUUGAAAUACCACCCUGGUCUAUUUGAAGUUCUAACCUAGGCCCGUGAUCCGGGUCAGGGACAGUGCAUGGUGGGUAGUUUGACUGGGGCGGUCUCCUCCCAAAGAGUAACGGAGGAGCGCGAAGGUACCCUCAGCGCGGUCGGAAAUCGCGCAUUGAGUGCAAAAGCAUAAGGGUGCUUGACUGCGAGACAGACACGUCGAGCAGGUGCGAAAGCAGGCUUUAGUGAUCCGGUGGUCCUGUAUGGAAGGGCCAUCGCUCAACGGAUAAAAGGUACUCCGGGGAUAACAGGCUGAUACCGCCCAAGAGUUCAUAUCGACGGCGGUGUUUGGCACCUCGAUGUCGGCUCAUCACAUCCUGGGGCUGAAGUCGGUCCCAAGGGUAUGGCUGUUCGCCAUUUAAAGUGGUACGCGAGCUGGGUUUAGAACGUCGUGAGACAGUUCGGUCCCUAUCUGCCGUGGGCGUUGGAGAUUUGAGGGAAGCUGCUCCUAGUACGAGAGGACCGGAGUGGACGUACCCCUGGUGUUCCGGUUGUCACGCCAGUGGCAUUGCCGGGUAGCUACGUACGGACGGGAUAACCGCUGAAAGCAUCUAAGCGGGAAGCCCCUCCCAAGAUAAGAUCUCCCUGGGCACUCGAUGCCCCUGAAGGUCCGUCGUAGACCACGACGUUGAUAGGCGGGAUGUAGAAGCUGGGUAACCAGUGAAGCUAACCCGUACUAAUUGACCGUGCGGCUUGACCAUAUAACACCCAAACAUUU